UGCUUCGGGUGACAACGGUCAGAGAUGAAGGUGGCCGCGGCGCAGCGGGAAGCUCAGCUUCGCGGAGCGCGGUUGGCAGCCAGGCCGCGCCUGUAGGACCCCCUGGCCGGGGUGACGGGAUGGGGACCCGACUCGGGUAGUGAGACGCCUGCUAGCUGAACUUCAGCCGGAGGGGCUCGCCUGCUCCGGUCAGACUCGGCGACCUCCUCCACCUGCUGCCGCUGGGCCCCGCGUCCGGCGGGCCACAACGGCGUCGGCGACGGCGGGGGCAUGUGGCGCUGGGUCCGGCAGCAGCUGGGUUUUGACCCACCACAUCAAAGUGACACAAGAACUAUUUACAUAGCCAACAGAUUUCCUCAGAAUGGCCUUUACACACCUCAGAAAUUUAUAGAUAACCGGAUCAUUUCAUCUAAGUAUACCGUAUGGAAUUUUGUUCCAAAAAAUUUAUUUGAACAAUUCAGAAGAGUGGCAAACUUUUAUUUUCUUAUUAUAUUUUUGGUUCAGCUUAUGAUUGACACACCUACCAGUCCAAUUACCAGUGGACUCCCAUUAUUCUUUGUGAUAACAGUAACUGCCAUAAAACAGGGAUAUGAAGACUGGUUACGCCACAACUCAGAUAAUGAAGUAAAUGGAGCUCCUGUUUAUGUUGUUAGAAGUGGUGGCCUUGUGAAAACCAGAUCAAAAAACAUUCGGGUGGGUGAUAUUGUCCGUAUAGCCAAAGAUGAAAUUUUCCCUGCAGAUUUGGUGCUUCUGUCCUCAGAUCGACUCGAUGGUUCAUGUCAUGUUACAACUGCCAGUUUGGAUGGAGAGACAAACCUGAAGACACAUGUGUCAGUUCCAGAAACAGCAGUAUUACAAACGGUUGCCAACCUGGACAGUCUCAUAGCUGUGAUAGAAUGCCAGCAGCCAGAAGCAGACUUAUACAGAUUUAUGGGACGAAUGAUAAUAACUCAACAAAUGGAAGAAAUUGUAAGACCUCUGGGACCAGAGAGUCUCUUGCUUCGUGGAGCCAGAUUAAAAAAUACAAAAGAAAUUUUUGGUGUAGCUGUGUACACCGGAAUGGAAACGAAGAUGGCAUUAAAUUACAAGAGCAAGUCACAGAAACGAUCUGCAGUAGAAAAAUCAAUGAACACAUUUUUAAUAAUUUAUCUAAUAAUCCUUAUUUCUGAGGCCAUCAUCAGUACUAUCUUGAAAUAUACCUGGCAAGCAGAAGAAAAAUGGGAUGAACCUUGGUAUAACCAAAAAACAGAACAUCAAAGAAACAGUAGUAAGAUUCUGAGAUUUAUUUCUGAUUUCCUUGCUUUUUUGGUACUCUACAAUUUCAUCAUUCCAAUUUCUUUGUAUGUGACUGUUGAGAUGCAGAAAUUUCUUGGAUCGUUUUUUAUUGGCUGGGAUCUUGAUCUAUACCAUGAAGAAUCAGAUCAGAAAGCUCAAGUCAAUACUUCUGACCUGAAUGAAGAGCUUGGACAGGUGGAAUAUGUGUUUACAGAUAAAACUGGGACACUGACAGAAAAUGAAAUGCAGUUUCGAGAAUGUUCAAUUAAUGGCAUGAAAUACCAAGAAGUCAAUGGUAAACUUGUACCUGAAGGACCAACCCCAGACUCUGCAGAAGAAAGCUUAUCUUACCUUGGUAGUUUAUCACAUCUCAACAACUCAACACAUGUCACAACCAGUUCUUCUUUUAGAACCAGUCCUGAAAGUGAAACUGAACUAAUGAAAGAACAUGACCUCUUCUUUAAAGCAGUCAGUCUUUGCCAUACUGUACAGAUCAGCAGUGUUCAAACUGAUGGCAUUGGGGAUGGUCCCUGGCAGUCCAACCUAGCACCUGCACAGCUGGAGUACUAUGCAUCUUCACCAGAUGAAAAGGCUCUAGUGGAAGCUGCAGCAAGAGCUGGUAUCAUAUUUAUAGGCAUUUCUGAAGAAAGUAUGGAGGUUAAAGUACUUGGAAGACUGGAAAGGUACAAAUUGCUUCAUAUUCUGGAAUUUGAUUCAGAUCGUAGGAGAAUGAGUGUAAUUGUUCAAGCACCUUCAGGUGAGAAGCUUUUAUUUGCUAAAGGAGCAGAAUCUUCAAUUCUCCCUAAAUGUAUAGGUGGAGAAAUAGCAAAAACCAGAAUUCAUGUAGAUGAAUUUGCUUUGAAAGGACUGCGGACACUAUGUAUAGCUUAUAGACAGUUUACCGCUAAAGAGUAUGAUGAUAUAGAUAGGCGCCUGUUUGAGGCCAGGACUGCCUUGCAGCGACGGGAAGAGAAGUUGGCUGAUGCCUUCCAGUACAUUGAGAAAGACCUGAUACUGCUAGGAGCUACAGCAGUGGAAGACAGACUACAAGAUAAAGUUCGAGAAACUAUUGAAGCAUUGAGAAUGGCUGGUAUAAAAGUAUGGGUGCUUACAGGAGACAAACAUGAAACAGCUGUUAGUGUGAGCUUAUCAUGCGGACAUUUUCAUAGAGCUAUGAAUAUCCUCGAACUCGUCAACCAGAAGUCAGACAGCGGAUGUGCUGAACAGUUGAGGCAGCUUGCCAGGAGAAUUACAGAAGACCAUGUGAUUCAGCAUGGGCUGGUAGUAGAUGGGACCAGCUUAUCUCUUGCACUCAGGGAGCAUGAAAAGCUGUUUAUGGAAGUUUGCAGAAACUGCUCAGCUGUGUUGUGUUGCCGCAUGGCACCUUUACAGAAAGCAAAAGUAAUAAGACUGAUAAAAAUCUCACCUGAGAAACCGAUAACAUUGGCUGUUGGUGAUGGUGCUAAUGAUGUCAGCAUGAUACAAGAAGCACAUGUUGGCAUAGGAAUCAUGGGUAAAGAAGGAAGACAAGCUGCAAGGAACAGUGACUAUGCAGUAGCUAGAUUUAAAUUCCUCUCCAAAUUACUGUUUGUUCAUGGUCAUUUUUAUUAUAUUAGAAUAGCUACCCUUGUACAGUAUUUUUUUUAUAAGAAUGUGUGCUUUAUCACACCCCAAUUUUUAUAUCAGUUCUACUGUUUGUUUUCUCAGCAAACACUGUAUGACAGCGUGUACUUGACUUUGUACAAUAUCUGUUUUACUUCCCUGCCUGUUCUCAUAUAUAGUCUUUUGGAACAACAUAUAGACCCUCAUGUGUUACAGAGCAAGCCUACCCUCUAUCGGGACAUUAGUAAAAACCGUCUCUUGAGCAUUAAAGCAUUUCUUUACUGGACCAUCCUGGGUUUCAGCCAUGCCUUCAUUUUCUUUUUUGGAUCCUAUUUUCUUGUGGGGAAAGAUACAUCUCUGCUUGGAAAUGGCCAGAUGUUUGGAAACUGGACGUUUGGUACUCUGGUCUUCACAGUCAUGGUUAUUACGGUCACAGUAAAGAUGGCUUUGGAAACUCAUUUCUGGACCUGGAUCAACCAUCUUGUCACUUGGGGAUCUAUUAUAUUUUAUUUUAUAUUUUCUUUAUUUUAUGGUGGGAUUCUCUGGCCAUUUUUGGGCUCCCAGAAUAUGUACUUUGUAUUUAUUCAGCUCCUGUCAAGUGGACCGGUGUGGUUUGCCAUACUCCUCAUGGUUGUUACUUGUCUGUUCCUUGAUGUUGUGAAGAAAGUGUUUGACCGACACCUUCAUCCAACAAGUACAGAAACGGCACAGAUGGAAGAAGAUAAGGGUUCAGUCGGCUCAGCAUAUGAAUUUGCUGAAAGCCAGCACAGAGGGGAGGACAGUAGGCACCUGUUAGCUGAGGCUUGCAGCCAGCAGGACAGUUGUUGCGUGCACUAGCUUGCUGAAGCACAUUCAGGUGUCAAGUGCUUGGACUCCAUGUGCUGUUUCCCAGGAGAGACCCCGUGCACGUCUGUUGGAAGAAUGCUGGAGCGAGUCAUAGGAAGGUGUAGUCCCAACCAUAUCAGCAGGUUGUGGAGUGCAUCGGAUCCUUUCUAUACCAAUGACAGGAGCAUCUUGACUCUCUCCCCAAUGGACUCAUCUACUUGUUGAAGGACAACUUCCCCUGUCCUCAGACUUAGGGUCAUUCUAUAAGAGGCCACACUGGCUCUGAAGUUACUGUCUGAAAUCUCUGGAGGAGUUGAGAGCUUCUUGGAGUUCCGCAGGAAACAGGCCUUCUUCAUUCUCUUUCAUUUGAAUGUGAGCUUACUAAAAUUUGGAAAUAAAGAGAUACUUCCAGUCUCUUUGUUUGGUUUGUCCCUUCCACUCAAGGGACUUCUGGUGGCAUUAUAGCCUUUGCUGGAGCCACUAUAAUAUCAAGAUAGAAGAAAAGGGUAACUCCUGGGUGUGUGUAUUUUUAGGAUUAGUAUGGUUUGGGACUCUUCUAUUUAAAUCUGCUUCUGUAAAUUAUGCUAAAGAUUUGCCUUGAGAACUCUAUUUUUUUUAUUAGAUUAUAUUUGAAGCUUUUCAUGGGAAAAGUUGAUGUGAAUAUUAAGGAAUUUGGUCCUUCAGUGACCUGUGUAGUUAAUUCAUUUGUGCUUCUUAAGUCACAGCAAAUAUGGAGAACACAUUUCUAACCAUUGUCUUCUUCAGUAUUGGUUGAAAGCUUGGACCGACCCCAGACUUCUUUAAUAAAACUAUAACACAGCCAGAGAAGCUAAUCUAAGAAGGGCACAGGGAGUUUGACAUCUCACGUCCAAGUCAGAGGUGAAGCCAUUCACUACACUUCAAAUUGGUGUUUGCUAACAUUUUUGUAGUCACAUUUGUAAAGUCUGUAGUGGGUAGAUAGAUACCAUUGGCUCACAUUUAAUUUACUGAAUCUGUCCUAUCUUCUGCAUGCUUCAACUGGCUAAUAUAUUUCACCCCCUCCCCAAUUACCUGCUCCCUCUCCAAAGAGUCUGUUCAUAAUUUUAUAACAAUGUUGUAAAGUUCAUAUGUAU